GCUAACGUCCGUCGUGGAGAGGGAAACAACCCAGACCGCCAGCUAAGGUCCCAAAGUCUAUAUUAAGUGGGAAACGAAGUGGGAAGGCUUAGACAGCUAGGAUGUUGGCUUAGAAGCAGCCAUCAUUUAAAGAAAGCGUAAUAGCUCACUGGUCGAGUCGGCCUGCGCGGAAGAUGUAACGGGGCUAAACCAUGCACCGAAGCUGCGGCAGCGACACUAUGUGUUGUUGGGUAGGGGAGCGUUCUGUAAGCCUGUGAAGGUGUACUGUGAGGUAUGCUGGAGGUAUCAGAAGUGCGAAUGCUGACAUAAGUAACGAUAAAGCGGGUGAAAAGCCCGCUCGCCGGAAGACCAAGGGUUCCUGUCCAACGUUAAUCGGGGCAGGGUGAGUCGACCCCUAAGGCGAGGCCGAAAGGCGUAGUCGAUGGGAAACAGGUUAAUAUUCCUGUACUUGGUGUUACUGCGAAGGGGGGACGGAGAAGGCUAUGUUGGCCGGGCGACGGUUGUCCCGGUUUAAGCGUGUAGGCUGGUUUUCCAGGCAAAUCCGGAAAAUCAAGGCUGAGGCGUGAUGACGAGGCACUACGGUGCUGAAGCAACAAAUGCCCUGCUUCCAGGAAAAGCCUCUAAGCAUCAGGUAACAUCAAAUCGUACCCCAAACCGACACAGGUGGUCAGGUAGAGAAUACCAAGGCGCUUGAGAGAACUCGGGUGAAGGAACUAGGCAAAAUGGUGCCGUAACUUCGGGAGAAGGCACGCUGAUAUGUAGGUGAAGCGACUUGCUCGUGGAGCUGAAAUCAGUCGAAGAUACCAGCUGGCUGCAACUGUUUAUUAAAAACACAGCACUGUGCAAACACGAAAGUGGACGUAUACGGUGUGACGCCUGCCCGGUGCCGGAAGGUUAAUUGAUGGGGUUAGCGGUAACGCGAAGCUCUUGAUCGAAGCCCCGGUAAACGGCGGCCGUAACUAUAACGGUCCUAAGGUAGCGAAAUUCCUUGUCGGGUAAGUUCCGACCUGCACGAAUGGCGUAAUGAUGGCCAGGCUGUCUCCACCCGAGACUCAGUGAAAUUGAACUCGCUGUGAAGAUGCAGUGUACCCGCGGCAAGACGGAAAGACCCCGUGAACCUUUACUAUAGCUUGACACUGAACAUUGAGCCUUGAUGUGUAGGAUAGGUGGGAGGCUUUGAAGUGUGGACGCCAGUCUGCAUGGAGCCGACCUUGAAAUACCACCCUUUAAUGUUUGAUGUUCUAACGUUGGCCCCUAAUCGGGGUUGCGGACAGUGUCUGGUGGGUAGUUUGACUGGGGCGGUCUCCUCCUAAAGAGUAACGGAGGAGCACGAAGGUUGGCUAAUCCUGGUCGGACAUCAGGAGGUUAGUGCAAUGGCAUAAGCCAGCUUGACUGCGAGCGUGACGGCGCGAGCAGGUGCGAAAGCAGGUCAUAGUGAUCCGGUGGUUCUGAAUGGAAGGGCCAUCGCUCAACGGAUAAAAGGUACUCCGGGGAUAACAGGCUGAUACCGCCCAAGAGUUCAUAUCGACGGCGGUGUUUGGCAC
rnacentral:rRNA from 1 species